CUCCCCUUAAGAAGUCCUGACUGCACAGCCCCUCACCAUGGACUGGAGCUGGAGAGUCCUCUUCCUUGUGACAGUGGCUACAGGUGUUCACUCCCAGGUGCAACUGGUGCAGUCUGGGGCUGAGGUGAAGAAGCCUGGGGCCUCAGUGAAGGUCUCCUGCAAGGCUUCUGGUAAACCUUCAGCAGAUACUGGAGGCACUGAGUGUGACAGACCCCAGGACAAGGCCUGGAGUGGAUGUAGUCUAUUUACCCUAAGAGUGGUGACAGACACUACACACAGAAGUUCCAGGGCAGAGUCACUAUAACUGCAGACAAGUCCAUGAGCACACACUACAUGG